AAGAACUCUGACGAGACCCCGCACCUUCAGAUGUGAUUCCUCCCUGUAGUCUGUGAAGAACACUGACUUUGGGCUCCCUGUUGGCGUGUACGGUCGCCUCUGUGACCUUUGAGGGUGGUCUCACGUCAUCCAGCUCCAUCUCACAGUCCGCAAGAUUCCCCAGAGGGCUCGGUACCCCAUCUAAUGUCACAAUGAACUUGGGGCUGGCAGAGUCGCCCCUCUCCUUACUAGUUGCGUGGCAAAGCAGGCUGGACUUCCUCUUUGACCUGAGGGCGCUGCUGGCUUCUGGCUGGAGGUUCUUGCAGUUGCGAUCGACUCACUAUGAAGGAGCGGGUAUCAAAUGGCUUUGCCUCACUGCCUGCAGCGACCUCAACGCCUACAGGUACAUCACAAAAUGGACACAUCCCAGGGUAAUGCAUCGCUGAAGACAAUAAAUCAGACAGCUUCUGGGAUACUCAUUAUUAGUAAUUACUUUAAAUGUUUUAAGUCAAGUACACAUUUGUGGGAUGAAACUUUUAUUGUAGCAAAAAAGACUCACCAUAGUCACUCUGCUCGGCUCCAUCGUUGCUCUCUGGUAAGUCCAACUGGAGGCGUGAAGCUAAAGAUCUCACUGGAGCUGGGAGGAAAAUGUAACAUCAAAAACAAAAAACAACAAUUUCUUAUUCACUGGAGUUUAAAUAGUGAACAUUUUUUUAGAUUAGUUUAGCUCACUGAACAGUAAGAAUGUUAAAUGUGAUUCUGGCCUUUGGAUAGCAGCGUGUUGAAAGUAGUGCUCAGGAAAAAAAACCAUUCUGUUUGAUGUAGUAAUUCACAUACCAGGUGUUCUGGUGGGAGGUAGCUCUGUGGAGGUGUAGGUCUGAACCCUAGGGGCCAGGCUGUGGAGGUGGUCCUGGACCAGCUGGAUGGCUGCAGUCAUCUCUUCGCUGCUGGCCAAGCGAGUACGAGGUGCCACAGGAACAGUCUGCCUCUGUGGUACUGGAGGGCCGAGCGGUCAAGGUAAGAAAGUGAAAACAGCAACAACAAUUGAGAUGUUCAUGGUAACACGUUAAAACAUACUUGUGGGGUAGGCUGUAGUUUUGGUGAUUGAGUCCUGGGCCUCAGAGAUGGCCUUCAGUAUCAGAUUCCGGUUUGCUUGCUUGCCUGGAGGGAGAGUAGGUCUGAAACGAUAGAAACCACUGUAACAUUAAAGCCCAGUCUGGUAAUUUAAGAAGAAAGACAGGGGUCACAUUAGGAUUUUAACUGAAUCCAAUCACAUUUGCUACAUAAUUUUUAACAGUGAAUUACAAUCCUGGCUUGACCACAUGAUGUUCCAAAAUAUCAUGAGUUGUUGACACUGACUUGCGUUCUGGUUUGGAGGGUAGGGACACUCUACUUGACAGGCCUCUGCCUCCAUAGCCUGGAUCCUCCUCUUCCACGUCAUCGCUGUCUUCGUCUGCCGCUCGGUUCACUCGCACCACUGAACUCGCUACGGGCGCCUUACGCUUCCGUGACAACUCCUCCUGCUGAACAAAGACAGCAGAACAUUAUUAUUAAGGGAUCCUUAAUUACACCCGCCUGACACGUUGUCAACAGAAAGAUCAUUUGUGUAGUCCUGUGUCUGAAGCAAGUCCUGAAAAAUGAUCCUUCUUUGAAAAGAGGACCAAGUGUGCUCUCGCGGAAUCACUGUACCUUACUGGACCCAGUCCUGGAGGAUCUGCUGUUUCUGCUGUCCUGCUGCCUAGUGUGAGAGGAUCCUUCUGUGGGUCGACAUGUAUCCGCAGAGCUUACUGAUGUAAACUUGCUCUGAGCCGGUCUGUAGAUUUCAGCGGUGGGUCUAUUAGCUGUGCGGCGUGUUCGACCAUGGUUUGUGCCUAUUUCUAAGUGGUCCUCAGCGAUGAGGUCGUCAUCCAUCUCCGGUUUGAUGUCAAUGACAGCCUCUAAGGGGAGCAGCUCCAUGAGGGGCUUAACAGUGGAGGUAAGUCGAGAGGAACUCUUCUCCAAGGCGCCUCUUCUGCUAACGAACAGAGGUAUACACGUGUUUUUACAUUUGCAGGGUCUGGCAUAUGAUCUUUAAAUAGUGAAUGUCAGCAUGUUUCGCAUUAGGCACCUGCUUUCAUGAGCUGAACUGGACACACGAGCUUCAGUCCUAUCAGAGCGUGAACUGGACACUGUCAGCACCUUUAACUCAUCUGCUCUGCUGUCUUCGCUUACAGAUGACCGGCUCUUCGAAGCCACAGCACCACUGUCGGACUGCAGCUGAUGUUUGAGGGAUGCAGGCUCUGUAACAAGUGGAAGAAGAGCAUGUCUGAGACACUGAAACUACAGCCCCUCAAUGCCAACCAACAAUGACGGGAAGGAUCUUGCUCACCGUCUAGACAAGCGUCACACACACUCUCAACCACCGCUGUCUGCUCACGUUUCUCUGUUGGCUUUGUUCACACCAUCAGUGCUGAGGCACAAAUAGUGUAAUGUUUAGAAAAAAAUCAACUUCGUCUUUUUUUCACAAAUGACACUUCAUGUUGUGCCUGUCAUACAAGAACCUGCACAGACAUUUCUUAGCAUU